rnacentral:rRNA from 1 species
UAAGGAAUAUUGGUCAAUGGACGCAAGUCUGAACCAGCCAUGCCGCGUGAAGGAUGAAGGUCCUCUGGAUUGUAAACUUCUUUUAUCUGGGACGAAAACGGGAUUUUUAUCUCAAUUGACGGUACCAGAGGAAUAAGCACCGGCUGACUCCGUGCCAGCAGCCGCGGUAAUACGGAGGGUGCGAGCGUUAUCCGGAUUUACUGGGUUUAAAGGGUGCGUAGGUGGGCUUAUAAGUCAGUGGUGAAAUCUCCGAGCUUAACUUGGAAACUGCCGUUGAUACUAUAGGUCUUGAAUUAUCUGGAGGUAAGCGGAAUAUGUCAUGUAGCGGUGAAAUGCUUAGAUAUGACAUAGAACACCAAUUGCGAAGGCAGCUUACUACAUAUAAAUUGACGCUGAGGCACGAAAGCGUGGGGAUCAAACA